AUUCCCGGCUCAGGGUCCCCUCCUCACCCCCACAGCCCUGCCCCUCCAGGCCUCACCUGGAACACGUGGAAGCCCACUGUGAGGCUCAAGAGGGGUCCAAGCUGUGGGAAUCCUGAGACCUCUGGUGCCACCAGAUAAGACAUCAGCUUGGAGAGGGAAUCAGCCCUCCCACAGCUUGGAACCUCCCCACUGCCAGCACAAUGGAACCUGUUGAGAUUCAGGACAAUUCUGGAACAACAGUGUGCUACAAGGCCAUGCAAUGCUGGGGCUUGAGCCCAGGCCCCUGCCCCUACUAGGCCAGCAUCCUACCGCUGAGAUACACCCCAGCCCUCAGGUCCCUUCGGUCAUCUUUCUUCGCCUUCAGAGGUCUUCAGCUAAUGCCCCUGGUUGUUCAUCCCAGACGGCAAGCAAGCCAAUGCCCUGGAGACUGGCGUCAGAUCUCAAUGCCCAGCAGAUGCAGUUUCCUGGCGAGAUGAUCCCGGAAGAAGCUUGGCGUGUCAAUCAGCAGGAGGCAUGUGCUGUUUAGUGGCCUGCAUUUGUAAUGUCUGAAGGAGGUGCUCGGUACCCACAUUCACUAUGCAACUGGGGAGUGCGAAAGUGGGAACUGGCUGGGUGUAGGAGGCUGAGGCAGGAGGAUCACCAUGAGUUCAAGGUUGGCCUGGACUACAUGAUUUACUGGCUUCUUGUGCUCUGCUCGAGGAAGGGUUUUCCACAGAUAGCUAAGUUAAGCAGAAAUAUUCUAGGCAGUCAGACAGGUGAAGCCCUCAAGAGACCAAAACAUCACAACGAUGGCCAGAGACACAUCUGUUAGAGAUCAGUCCUCAAGAUAAAGACAAGAUGACCAGGCCUGAGUAUUUCCUCAAAGCUAAACACCAGGCUUACUGAAGGCUGCAUAGACAUCAGCCACCUCGUGGGUGACCAAGACGCCAGGGCCCAUCAUUUCCCAAAGAAGUUCGUGUUCUUUCCAUACACCCUGUUAUUGACUUGUUUCCCCAUCAGAUCACUAUUACCUAAGUGAUUGUACCUAGAAUCUCAUCGAUCAGUCAUAGCUGUACCCCACAUGGGUUCUGCUCUAUAAAACUUCCCUGUAAAGUGGGGGCUACCCCACUUGGGUUCCCUCCUGUCCUCUCAAAAACUAUUUUCCUACUCUUAACCUCUGUUGUUCCUAGAAUUCAUUU